GAGCUGACGGAAGUGCAAUGGAGGAAACAAUAUCAACAGCAGAUAGAGCAGCAUAAAAUGAUCCAACGGCAGAGAACGAAUGAGAGGGAAAUGAAUUUAUUCUUGGAUGAAAAUGGUGAGCCGUUAACGCCUACAUCGGCUUGGAGAGCAGCUGAGAAGCUAGCUAAAGUGGCUAUGAUGAAGAAGUCGAUGAAUAGAGUGAGUGAUUUGCACGGCUUUGAAAAU
rnacentral:misc_RNA from 1 species